UGCCCAGCAACUCCUAUCCCUACCUCCGCGUGGUACUGGCUGGAAACUACGUGCAACCUUAGGGAAGAUCGGGUAACCAACCCCGGUGGGAACUUUGGUUGUUGGCUGACAGGGAAGG
rnacentral:ribozyme from 1 species